CCCAAUUCAUGAAUGCAUUAAUUGUCUUCCAAAGAAGAAUCUGAGGUGACAAGUUUCCUUCAUUGGAUUCCAAGAGCUCGAUGGAUCAUUCGAAGUCCCACCGGGGACAGCAGUCGGUGGGUGGCCUCACUUCCACUUGCUAGUAGUUUAAGCUGUGGUGGGCUCAUCCCUCCCCUCCCCUCUCCUCUCCUCUCUCUUCUUCCUGUUCUGUCUUUUCAUAGCUUUGGACCAUACUAUUUGUAAUUACGGAUCAUAAAUACAAUGAGGGAUUCUUCAUGCAAUCAAAC
rnacentral:lncRNA from 1 species